CCCAAGUUUUGGACUCAAUCCGAUAUAGAUUGGUCCUUGAAAUCGGACAAUUCAGGUUCGUACGAAGUUCGUUCUGAAAUAGAGUGGUUGGUGUAUUGUAUAGUUCUAGGGAUUGUAUUUCACUCAAAUCCCACCAAAUGACUCCUCCCACAAUAUUAUGAUGUUCCCCAAGUUUUGGACUCAAUCCGAUAUCGAUCGGUCCACGAAAUUUGACAAUUCAGGUUCGUACCAAGUUCAUUCCGAAAUGGAGUGGUUGGUGUAUUGUAUAGUUCUAGGGAUUGUAUUUCACUCAAAACCCACCAAAUGACUCCUCCCACAAUCUUAUGAUGUUCCCCAAGUUUUGGACUCAAUCCGAUAUCGAUUGGUUCUUGAAGUCGGACAAUUCAGGUUCGUACCAAGUUCGUUGUGAAAUGGAGUGGUUGGUGUAUUGUAUAGUUCCAGGGAUUGUAUUUCACUCAAAACCCACCAAAUGCCUCCUCCCACAAUAUUAUGUUGUUCGCCAAGUUUUGGACUCAAUCCGAUAUCGAUUGGUCCUUGAAUUCAGACAAUUCAGGUUCGUAUGAAGUUCGUUCUGAAAUGGGGUGGUUGGUGUAUUGUACAGUUCUAGAGAUUGGAUUUCACUCAAAACCGACCAAAGGACUCCUCCCACAAUAUUAUGAUGUUCCCCAAGUUUUGGACUCAAUGCGAUAUCGAUUAGUCCUUGUAAUCGGCCAAUUCAGGUUCGUACGAAGUUCAUUAUGAAAUGGGGUGGUUGGUGUAUUGUUUAGUUCUAGAGAUUGGAUUUCACACAAAACCCACCAAAUGACUCCUCCCACAAAAUUAUGAUGUUCCCCAAGUUUUGGACUCAAUCCGAUAUAGAUUGAUCCUUGAAAUCGGACAAUUCAGGUUCGUACGAAGUUCCUUUUGAAAUGGAGUGGCCGGUGUAUUGUAUAGUUCUAGAGAUUGGAUUUCACUCAAAACCCAACAAAUGACUCCUCCCACAAUAUUAUGAUGUUCCCUUAGUUUUGGACUCAAUCCGAUAUCGAUCAGUCCACGAAAUUUGACAAUUCAGGUUCGUACGAAGUUCGUUCUGAAGUGGGGUGGUUGGUGUAUUGUAUAGUUCUAGAGAUUGGAUUUCACUCAAAACCCACCAAAUGACUCCUCCCACAAUAUUAUGAUGUUCCCCAAGUUUUGGACUCAAUCCGAUAUCGAUCGGUUAACGAAAUUUGACAAUUCGGGUUCGUACGAAGUUCGUUCUGAAGUGGGGUGGUUGGUGUGUUGUAUAGUUCUAGAGAUUGUAUUUCACUCAAAACCCACCAAAUGACUCCUCCUACAAUGUUAUGGUGUUCCCCAAGUUUUGGACUCAAUCCGAUAUCGAUCGGUCCACGAAAUUUGACAAUUCUGGUUCGUACGAAGUUCGUUCCGAAAUGGUGUGGUUGGUGUAUUGUAUAGUUCUAGAGAUUGGAUUUCACUCAAAACCCACCAAAUGACUCCUCCCACAAUAUUAUGAUGUUCCCCAAGUUUUGGACUCAAUCCGAUAUCGAUCGGUCCACGAAACUUGACAAUUCGGGUUCGUACGAAGUUCGUUCUGAAAUCGAGUGGUUGGUGUAUUGUGUAGUUCUAGGGAUUGUGUUUCACUCAAAACCCACCAAAUGACUCCUCCAACAAUAUUAAGAUGUUCCCCAAGUUUUGGACUCAAUCCGAUAUCGAUCGGUCCACGAAAUUUGACAAUUCAGGUUCGUACGAAGUUCGUUCCGAAAUGGUGUGGUUGGUGUAUUGUAUAGUUCAAGGGAUUGUAUUUCACUAAAAACCCACCAAAUGCCUCCUCCCACAAUAUUAUGUUGUUCCCCAAGUUUUGGACUCAAUCCAAUAUCGAUUGGUCCUUGAAAUCAGACAAUUCAGGUUCGUUUGAAGUUCGUUCCGAAAUUGGGUGGUACUUGUAUUGUAUAGUUCUAGAGAUUGGAUUUCACUCAAAAACCACCAAAUGCCUCCUCCCACAAUAUUAUGAUGUUCCCCAAGUUUUGGACUCAAUCCGAUAUCGAUCGGUCCACGAAAGUUGACAAUUCAGGUUCGUACCAAGUUCGUUCUGAAACGGUGUGGUUGGUGUAUUGUAUAGUUCUAGGGAUUGUAUUUCACUCAAAACCCACCAAAUGCCUACUCCCAGAAUAUUAUGAUGUUCCCCAAGUUUUGGACUCAAUCCGAUAUCGAUCGGUCCACGAAAUUUGACAAUUCAGUUUCGUACCAAGUUCGUUCUGAAAUGGAGUGGUUGGUGUAUUGUAUAGUUCUAGGGAUUGUAUUUUACUCAAAACCCACCAAAUGACUCCUCCAACAAUAUUAUGAUGUUCCCCAAAUUUUGGACUCAAUCCGAUAUCGAUUGGUGCUUGAAAUCGGACAAUUCAGGUUCGUAUGAAGUUCGUUCUGAAAUGGGGUGGUUGGUGUGUUGUAGAGUUCUAGAGAUUGGAUUUCACUCAAAACCCCCCAAAUGACUCCUCCCACAAUAUUAUGAUGCUUCCUAAGUUUUGGACUCAAUCCGAUAUCGAUCGGUCCACGAAAUUUGACAAUUCAGGUUCGUACGAAGUUUGUUCUGAAAUGGAGGGGUUGGUGUAUUGUAUAGUUCUAGGGAUUGUAUUUCAUUCAAAACCCGCCAAAUGCCUCCUCCCACAGUAUUAUGUUGUUCCCCAAGUUUUGGACUCAAUCCGAUAUCGAUUGGUCCUUGAAAUUGGACAAUUCAGGUUCGUUUAAAGUUCGUUCCGAAGUGGGGUGGUUGGUGUAUUGUAUAGUUCUAGAGAUUGGACUUCACUCAAAACCCACCAAAUGACUUCUCCCACAAUAUUAUGAUGUUUCCCAAGUUUUGGACUCAAUCCGAUGUCGAUUGGUCCUUGAAAUCGAACAAUUCAGGUUGGUAUGAAGUUCGUUCUGAAAUGGGGUGGUUGGUGUAUUGUAUAGUUCUAGAGAUUGGAUUUCACUCAAAACCCACCAAAUGACUCCUCCCACAAUAUUACGAUGUUGCCCAAGUUUUGGACUCAAUCCGAUAUCGAUCGGUCCACGAAAUUUGACAAUUCAGGUUCGUACCAAGUUCAUUCUGAAAUGGAGUGGUUGGUGUAUUGUAUAGUUCUAGGGACUGUAUUUCACUCAAAACCCACCAAAUGCCUCUUCCCACAAUAUUAUGUUGUUCUCCAAGUUUUGGACUCAAUCCGAUAUCGAUCAGUCCACGAAAUUUGACAAUUCUGGUUCGUACGAAGUUCGUUCUGAAAUGGAGUGGUUGGUGUAUUGUAUAGUUCUAGGGAUUGUAUUUCACUCAAAACACACCAAAUGACUCCUCCCACAAUAUUAUGAUGUUCCCCAAGUUUUGGACUCAAUCCGAUAUCGAUUGGUCAAUGAAAUCGGGCAAUUCUAGUUCAUACGAAGUUCGUUCUGAAAUGGAGUAGUUGGUGUAUUGUAUAGUUCUAGGGAUCAGAUUUCACUCAAAACCCACCAAAUGCCUCCUCCCACAAUAUUAUGUUGUUCCCCAAGCUUUGGACUCAAUCCGAUAUCGAUCUGCCCACGAAAUUUGACAAUUCAGGUUCGUACGAAGUUCGUUCUGAAAUGGAGUGGUUGGUGUAUUGUAUAGUUAUAGAGAUUGUAUUUUACUAAAAACCCACCAAAUGCCUCCUCCCACAGUGGUAUGCUGUUUCCCAAGUUCAGGACUCAAUCCGAUAUCGAUUGUCAAUGAAAUCGGGCUAUUCAAGUUCCUACGAAGUUCGUUCUGAAAUGGAGUGAUUUCUGUAUUGUAUAGUUCUAGGGAUUGGAUUUCACUCAAAACCCCCCAAAUGACUCCUCCCACAAUAUUAUGAUGUUCCCCAAGUUUUGGACUCAAUCUGAUAUCGAUUGGUCCUUGAAAUCGGAGAAUUCAGGUUCGUUUGAAGUUCGUUCUGAAAUGGGGUGGUUGGUGUAUUGUAUAGUUGUAGAGAUUGGAUUUCACUCAAAACCCACCAAAUGACUCCUCCCACAAUGUUAUGAUGUUCCCCAAGUUUUGGACUCAAUCUGAUAUCGAUUGGUCCUUGAAAUCGGACAAUUCAGGUUCGUUUGAAGUUCGUUCUGAAAUGGGGUGGUUGGUGUAUUGUAUAGUUCUAGAGAUUGGAUUUCACUCAAAACCCACCAAAUGACUCCUCCCACAAUAUUAUGAUGUUCCCCAAGUUUUGGACUCAAUCCGAUAUCGAUCAGUCCACGAAAUUUGACAGUUCAGGUUCGUACCAAGUUCGUUCUGAAAUGGAGUGGUUGGUGUAUUGUAUAGUUCUAGGUACUGUAUUUCACUCAAAACCCACCAAAUGCCUCUUCCCACAAUAUUAUGUUGUUCUCCAAGUUUUGGACUCAAUCCGAUAUCGAUCAGUGCACGAAAUUUGACAAUUCUGGUUCGUACGAAGUUCGUUCUGAAAUGGAGUGGUUGGUGUAUUGUAUAGUUCUAGGGAUUGUAUUUCACUCAAAACACACCAAAUGACUCCUCCCACAAUAUUAUGAUGUUCCCCAAGUUUUGGACUCAAUCCGAUAUUGAUUGGUCAAUGAAAUCGGGCAAUUCUAGUUCAUACGAAGUUCGUUCUGAAAUGGAGUAGUUGGUGUAUUGUAUAGUUCUAGGGAUCGGAUUUCACUCAAAACCCACCAAAUGCCUCCUCCCACAAUAUUAUGUUGUUCCCCAAGCUUUGGACUCAAUCCGAUAUCGAUCUGCCCACGAAAUUUGACAAUUCAGGUUCGUACGAAGUUCGUUCUGAAAUGGAGUGGUUGGUGUAUUGUAUAGUUCUAGGGAUUGUAUUUUACUCAAAACCCACCAAAUGCCUCCUCCCACAAUGGUAUGCUGUUUCCCAAGUUCAGGACUCAAUCCGAUAUCGAUUGUCAAUGAAAUCGGGCUAUUCAAGUUCAUACGAAGUUCGUUCUGAAAUGGAGUGAUUGGUGUAUUAUAUAGUUCUAGGGAUUGGAUUUCACUCAAAACCCCCCAAAUGACUCCUCCCACAAUAUUAUGAUGUUCCCCAAGUUUUGGACUCAAUCUGAUAUCGAUUGGUUCUUGAAUCGGACAAUUCAGGUUCGUAUGAAGUUCGUUCUGAAAUGGGGUGGUUGGUGUAUUGUAUAGUUCUACAGAUUGGAUUUCACUCAAAACCCACCAAAUGACUCCUCCCACAAGAUUAUGAUGUUCCCCAAGUUUUGGACUCAAUCCGAUAUCGAUCGGUGCACGAAAUUUGACAAUUCAGGUUCAUACCAAGUUCGUUCUGAAAUGGUGUGGUUGGUGUAUUGUAUAGUUCUAGGGAUUGUAUUUGAGUCAAAACCCACCAAAUUCCUCCUCCCACAAUAUUAUGUUGUUCCCCAAGUUUUGGUCUCAAUCCGAUAUCGAUCUGCCCACGAAAUUUGACAAUUCAGAUUCGUACGAAGUUCGUUCUGAAAUGGAGUGGUUGGUGUAUUGCAUAGUUCUAGAGAUUGGAUUUCACUCAAAACCCACCAAAUGACUCCUCCCACAAUAUUAUGGUGUUCCCUAAGUUUUUGACUCAAUCUGAUAUCGAUUGAUCCUUGAAAUCGGACUAUUCAGGUUCGUACGAAGUUCGUUCUGAAAUAGUGUGGUUGGUGUAUUGUAUAGUUCUAGAGAUUGGAUUUCACUCAAAACCCACCAAAUGACUCCUCCCACAAUAUUGUGUUGUUCCCCAGGUUUUGGACUCAAUCCGAUAUCGAUUGGUCCUUGAAAUCGGACAAUUCAGGUUCGUACGAAGUUCGUUUUGAAAUGGGGUGGUUGGUGUAUUGUAUAGUUCUAGAGAUUGGAUUUCACUCAAAACCCACCAAAUGACUCCUCCCACAAUAUUAUGAUGUUCCCCCGGUUUUGGACUCAGUCCGAUACCGAUUGGUCCUUGAAAUCGGACAACUCAGGUUCGUACGAUGUUCGUUCAUAAAUGGGGUGGUUGGUGUAUUGUAUAGUUCUAGGGAUUUGAUUUCACUCAAAACCCACCAAAUGACUCCUCCCACAAUAUUAUGAUGUUCCCCAAGUCUAGGCAUUCUAGAAGAUGUUUUGGUGAAAGUGGAAGAGCUAAUUUUGCCAGCAGAUUUCUUGCUGUUGGAAAUAGAAGAAGCACCAAUUCGUGACAAUCAGUUGCCACUCAUUGUAGGUCGGCCAUUCAUGGCAACUGCCGGUGCUAUUAUUGAUGUGAAGAAGGGGACAUUGACCAUGAAUGUGUUUGAUGAGACAAUAGCAUUCAAAGUGUUUGAAGCCUCCAAGUUCCCAAGUGAUGAGCAUGAAGUUUUCCAUCUUGAUGCAAUUGAUACUAUGGUGAAAGAAGCACUGCCAAUGAGUUAUUUGGAGCCCAUUGAAGCAUGCAUCACACAAAGCAUAAGGAAAGAAGAAGUGGACAGCUUAGAGGCUGUGAUCUCUCCUUUACUUCUUGAGCUUGUUUGCAGCAUGGAUAGCUACAUAGGAAUUGGAAAAAGGUAUGCAAACCAAUUUGAAUCAUUACCCCCACCUACUAAUAAGGUUUUACCUUCUAUUGUGCAGGCACCAGAGUUGGAAUUAAAGCAAUUGCCAAAACACCUUAAAUAUGCUUAUUUAGGUGAAAAUGAGACUCUACCUGUUAUCAUUGCCUCACAUCUCGGACCAAAUGAUGAAAAGAAGCUUUUGAGAGUUCUAAAAGAGCACAAAACUGCAAUCGGGUGGAGCAUUGCAUCAAAGGCAUAAGCCCAACACUGUGCAUGCACAAGAUAUUAUUGGAAGACAAUGCAAUGCCUAAGAGGGAUGCCCAAAGACGUCUCAAUCCGAACACGAAGGAGGUGGUAAGGAAAGAGGUAAUUAAGCUUUUAAAUGUUGGUAUUAUUUACCCUAUUUCUGACAGUAAAUGGGUGAGCCCAGUGCAAGUUGUCCCCAAGAAGUCAGGUAUCACAGUGGUGAAGAAUGAAGCAAACGAACUUGUACCUACACGGAUGACCACGGGCUGGAGAGUUUGCAUUGAUUAUAGGAAGCUCAACACAGCGACAAGCAAAGAUCACUUUCCUCUUCCAUUCAUUGAUCAAAUGCUUGAGAGAUUAGCUGGGCAUAGCCACUAUUGCUUCCUUGAUGGAUAUUCAGGCUACAACCAAAUCGCCAUAGCCCCAGAGGAUCAAGAGAAGACGACCUUCACAUGUCCCUUUGGCACUUUCGCUUAUAGGAGGAUGUCUUUUGGUCUCUGUAACGCCCCAGCCACUUUUCAAAGGUGCAUGAUGAGCAUUUUCUCCGACAUGGUAGAAAGGUUCAUUGAGGUAUUCAUGGAUGACUUCUCUGUCUUUGGUGAUUCUUUUGAUCAAUGCUUGCAUAACUUAUCCAAGGUGUUGGCUAGAUGUGAACAUACUAACCUUGUGCUUAAUUGGAAAAAAUGUCAUUUUAUGGUUAACCAAGGCAUAGUUCUUGGUCAUGUCAUCUCUAGUAAAGGAAUUGAGGUAGAUAAAGCUAAGAUUGAUUUGAUUGCCUCUAUGCCCUCACCUACUUCUGUCAAAGAAGUACGUUCUUUCCUUGGCCAUGCAGGUUUCUAUAGGCGUUUCAUUAAGGAUUUUUCUAAGAUUACAAGGCCUAUGUGCAAUCUCCUUGCCAAGGACAUGGAUUUUGUGUUUGAUCAAGACUGUGAGAAUGCUUUCAAUGCUUUGAAGAAGAUGCUCACAACUGCCCCAAUCAUUAUACCACCGGAUUGGAGCUUGCCUUUUGAAUUGAUGUGUGAUGCCUCAGAUUAUGCUGUUGGAGCUGUUUUGGGACAGCGAGUUGAUAAGAAGCCACAUGCCAUCUACUAUGCUAGUAGAACCCUCAACGAUGCCCAACUCAACUAUUCCACCACAGAGAAGGAGUUGUUAGCUGUCAUAUUUGCUUUAGAGAAGUUCAGAUCAUAUUUGAUUACUAACAAGGUUAUUGUUUACACUGAUCAUGCAGCAUUGAAAUACUUGUUAGCUAAGAAGGAUGCCAAACCACAACUCAUUAGAUGGAUUCUCUUAUUGCAAGAGUUUGACUUGGAGAUAAAAGAUAAGAAAGGAAGUGAGAAUGUUGUGGCUGAUCACUUGAGUAGAUUGGUGCAUGUAUCUAACGAAGAGGAGGAUUCAUUGCCAUUGCGUGAAAGCUUCCCUGAUGAGCAACUCUUCUCCAUUUGUGCUUUCAAUUCUCUCAAUCCAUUGCCUUGGUUUGCUGAUAUUGCUAACUAUUUGUGCACUAAUGAACUCCCUACAGGGUUAUCUACGUUCCAACGUAACAAGCUUAGGAAGCAAGCAAGAUACUACUUUUGGGAUGAUCCAUAUCUAUUCAAGCAUUGUCCAGACCAAGUAAUUCGAAGGUGUGUGCCUGAAGGUGAUUUUAAGAGCAUUCUGGAGUUUUGUCACUCCCACGCAUGCGGAGGCCAUUUUGGACCAAAGAAGACUGCCAGCAAAGUGCUACAAUCAGGUUUCUUUUGGCCUACCCUUUUUAAGGAUGCUUAUGUUUUUUGUGCUUCAUGUGAUAGAUGCCAACGGAUGGGUAAUUUACAUGCUAGAAAUCAGAUGCCUCUCACCAAUAUCUUAAUCAUUGAUAUAUUUGAUGUUUGGGGAAUUGAUUUCAUGGGCCCUUUUCCUACCUCUUAUGGAUUUGAAUAUAUAUUAGUUGCUGUCGAUUAUGUUUCUAAAUGGGUGGAAGCCAUUGCCACUAGAACUAAUGAUGCUAAGGUUGUGAUCGGUUUUCUCAAAGGAAAUAUUUUUACAAGGUUUGGCACACCUAGAGCAAUCAUUAGUGAUGGUGGCUCCCACUUUGUUAACCAAGCUUUUGCAGCACUCUUGACGAAAUAUGGAAUCACGCAUAAAGUGGCAACACCCUAUCAUCCUCAAACUAGUGGGCAGGUUGAGAUAAGCAAUAGGGAGAUUAAGCACAUACUUGAAAAGACAGUGAACACCACAAGGAAGGAUUGGUCCAUGUGUUUGGAUGAUGCAUUGUGGGCUUAUAGGACUGCUUAUAAGACCCCUAUAGGUAUGUCUCCGUAUAGACUUGUUUUUGGUAAACCUUGUCACUUACCAGUGGAGCUUGAGCACAGGGCUUAUUGGGCAAUCAAGGCCCUGAAGUUUGAUAUGAAAGCUGCUGGUGAGAAGAGGAGGCUUCAACUCAAUGAGCUGGAGGAGUUGCGACAUGAAGCAUAUGAGAAUGCGAAGCUUUACAAGGAGAAAACAAAGCAAUAUCACGACAAGAAAAUUCUUAGGAAGACGUUUGAGAAAGGGCAGAAGGUUCUCUUAUUCAAUUCACGCCUUAAACCCAGGUAAGCUUCAUUCUCGGUGGAUUGGCACUUUUGUUAUUACUAAUGUGUUUAAUCAUAGCGCAGUGGAGAUUCAAAACAUUAAGGAUGGCAGCACCUUCAAGGUGAAUGGACAUCGGUUGAAACCUUACUUCGAUGCCAAUAUUGAGUCUCAAGCACUCAAGGAGCCUCCACCACUCUCUUAUAGCUCACCAGAGUUUGGAUGUCCGGCUGAAGAUGUGAAACUUUGCGCUUCUUGGGAGGCAACCCAAGGUGAUGAGGAGAAGAUAGAAUAUGUGAGGAAGCUUGGCUGCAUCCUAAUCGCUUCAAAGGGGAGUUUUUCUGAAAUCUAACCUUUGGUUAUGUCUUUCCUUUGUCUUCUUUCCUUUCAUUUAUGUGGCAUUGCUUUUUCUUACACUCUAAACAUUGAGGACAAUGUUUCAUUUAAGUUUGGGGGGAAGGAUUUAGUUAUGUUCUUUCAAAUUGUCAAAUUUUAUAAUUUUGAGUGUGUCUAAUGGCCAAAAACGCAGGAUUUUGUGUCUUGUUUCGUUAUCCUUCCAAACACCUAUGAUAAGACUUGGAUCUAAUACUAAUAUGGUUUCUCAUAAAUUGAUAGUCAUUGUUUAAGGACUUUGUGUGGUUCUGAGUUAACUCUGUCUUGCUUGCCAUCCUUGCACUUAUUGAGCACUUUGUCGAGUUAGUCCAAUUUCUUGCUACUUGGAGACGAUAUGCAAUUCUACUUAUCUCAGAUCUUGGUUUCGUACUCUAGAACUUAUUUGAAUAUCUCUUGAGACAUUUUGUUGCCAUACAAUGCUUAGGAAGUGAUUUAGGCCAUGUUUGAACCGUUUGAGCUUUUCUAACAAUCCCUCUACAUGUAUUCAUCCCUAGUCAACCCAUUUGAGCCUACGUUAAGCCUUUCUUUGUGUAAACCAUUCUUACCAUAAUGAACCUCUGUUUUCUUAUUCUUACUUAUUCUAUGAGCAAUUAAAGUUAUCUUCAAAAGAGAGUUAUAAAGAAUGCAAGGUUUUUGGAGCAAAAGUGAAUCAUUAGUGCCAUAACCCAAGUGUUGAAAAGAAAUAAAUUUGGGGGUAUUGGUAACUAAUCAAAAGAGGUAAUGAAGUGUGACCAAUGUAGUCACGGCCCUAUGGUGUUAUAAAAGAGAAGAUCAUGGUGAUCUAGGGUAAAGAGCCACAAAAUUAGGCCAAAGAAACAGAUAUGAAGGUGCUGAAAUUAUGUUGAAAAUGUGCUCAUGUAUGUGUUCCUUGCUUGUUACAAAGUUCAGUAAUCUCUUAUGCUCUUACCUGUGCUUUAAUUGUGCUCAAAAUAUUGUAUAUCUCAUAUCCCUUCUUUCAUUCAACCACUGCCCUAAACCUCAUUACUACCCUUGUAAAGUCCUUUUGAUCCUUGGUAUUGUAUGGUAUUACUGUGGAGAGCUGAUUUGAUAAUGAGCUUAUGGGGUUCGGAAUUCUUGAUUUUGCUCUAAGUGUGUGCGCAUGUACUUAUCUGAGUUGCAGGUGUUGUACUGAUUCGGAAUUCACACACUACACUUAAGGAUGUCAUUGUGAGCUUUGGUUACCCUUGAAUCAUAUGUGGAACUCAGAUUGUGAUUGUUGUGUUUCUUUGGGACCAUAUACGUCGGUGAUUCUUUGAGGAUAUUGUUUGGAAGGCUAGUUGCUUAUUUCCUAUUUCCUAAGUUGUAGUUUUAUUUUGUUUUGCUCGAGGACUAGCAAAAUCUAAGUUUGGGGGUAUUUGAUAAGCUCUUAAUUUCACACAUUUGCAUGCCUUCUUUCCUUAGUAAUUUUUCUUAGCUUCUCUUUAUUUUGAGUCUCUUACCUAUGUUUGUGUGCUUUGUAGGUUAAGACAGCAAGGGGAUGACAUUUGAUACAAUUCAUGCAUGUUAAGGGCUGAGUGGCACAAGAGGAAUAUGAGCUUAAAGACAAAACCAAUUUGUGCCACACUCCUUGUCAGUCCAGUUUCGUAGGUCAUCUUACAGGCCUCAUUUCAGUAACUUACACAGGUCGAAUGAGGAGACAUCCUUGAUAGAAGUUGUUCCAAUGGGUGUCUAUUAUAACAUAUCCACAUUUCAGCCCAAUUGGAUAAAUCUGGAGCCCUCAACAAGUCAAAGACUGAACCAAGUUGACAGAAAUGUCAUGUUGGCUGCCAUCACAUUUAAUGUGGCUACAUCCCUAGAGCCAUGUGCUACACAUGGGCAGCCAUACAUAGGAGUCAAAUCAGCUCAGAAGCUCAGAAAGAUGAACAAAAGUCAAGCUUUCCAUAAAGAAACCAUACCAAAGCAUGUAUUUGUCAGCUGGAGCAGUUGGCAAGUAUGGGCAGCUGGAGCAGUUGGGAGCAGCUAAGAGAGGUGUACUUCACCAGCCAAAGGGGAGCACGAAAUUUCACUCUAUAAAUAGAGAGUUGCACACUCAUUCAAGGGGGAGAGAGCAGACACACACAUUCACUUCAUCCAUUACUCUCAUACACACAUUCAGAUUCACCACAAAGAGAGAAGAGAGCUUGGAGCUGUCCUGGGAACUUCCUUGCUGCCAUCAUCUAGUUCUUCUCCUCUCUUUAUCCUAUCUAUGUAUUUCUUAUUUUCUGUAUUCAUAGUUAUGUCUAACUAAUCCAUUUAGUUAGGGCUUAGGAUGAAGCCCUAGUCAUGAAUAUUAAAUGUUAUGGAUGAUUUUAUGGUUAAUUGAUUUCCUUGCUUUUAUUAUCAAGUUGUUAAUCUCCAGUUUAUUAUGUGCUUGAUGUAUGUUUUCUUGGAGUAGCUAACUAGGAUUUUAUGCAUCUAGCACAGGUUGGGAAGGGGUUUAGAUUCACCAAUUCUACUCUCCUUUCACAAGCAACACUUGAAUGGCCUAAGAAUCAUUCAAGGCGUUAAUAACCAUAGGUUGACUAGGACAGAUACCAUGUUCUUGGACUUGUGUGAUUAUCAUAUUCUCAAGGAGCUUAAUGACUCUUGUAUGCUUUAUUCUAAGUAGAUACCAUGCUUAGGUUGCAUAUUAGAGAUCACGUGUUGUGUAGAUACCAUGCAUAAUCACAUGCCUUAGGAGAAUCAUGCAUCCUGCACCUAGAUACCAUAGGCUUGUAUGCGAUGAUCUAUUGUUGAUGAAGCUUGAGUCAAUUUCUAUGCAUUCAUAACUUGGAUAGGAAAACUAGUGGUGGAUUCCAAGGCUCUAACACCUUUCAAUCAUUGUUUCGCAACUUGUUGAUUGCUGCCAGUGUUUACUUUCGAGCACUUUCAUUUCACUUUCUUGUUUUCAUUUCAACAACAAAACCCCCCAUUUCGAGUGCGUGUGUGGUGCUAGGAUUCUGUCCUAGACCUUGAGUAAUUAGCAAGAGGCAUUGUUGAAUUCGACCUUGCCUUUAGCUAGUUAGUCAGUUUCUUCGUUCAUUGUUUUUCUAGCAUUCUAAGUAAUUUAACUUGGAACCAAGUUACCAUUCUCCGUGGGAUCGACCUCGUAUUUACAUAAGCUAUACUAUAAAUGGUUCGUGCACUUGCGAGAAUUAAAGUUGCUGUUUUUAAUAACUCAUUUUAGUUGUUAAGAACUGGCGCAACAUUGGAUUUCACUAAAAACCCACCAAAUGACUCUUCCCACAAUAUUAUGAUGUUCCCCAAGUUUUGGACUCAAUCCGAUAUCGAUUGGUCCUUGAAAUCGGACAAAUCAGGUUCGUAUGAAGUUCGUUCUGAAAUGGGGUGGUUGGUGUAUUGUAUAGUUGUAGAGAUUGGAUUUCACUCAAAACCCAACAAAUGACUCCUCCCGCAAUAUUAUGACGUUCCCCAAGUUUUGGACUCAAUCCGAUAUCGAUUGGUCCUUGAAAUCGGACAAUUCAGGUUCGUACGAAGUUCAUUCUGAAAUGGUGUGGUUGGGGUAUUGUAUAGUUCUAGGGAUUGUAUUUCACUCAGAACCCACCAAAUGACUCCUGCCACAAUAUUAUGAUGUGCCCCAAGUUUUGGACUCAAUCCGAUAUCGAUUGGUCCUUGAAAUCGGACAAUUCAGGUUCGUACGAAGUUCGUUCUGAAAUGGUGUGGUUGGUGUAUUGUAUUGUUCUAGGGAUUCGAUUUCACUCAAAACCAUCAAAUGACAACCCCCACAAUAUUAUGAUGUUCCCCAAGUUUUGGACUCAAUCCGAUAUCGAUUGGUCCUUGAAAUCGGACAAUUCAGGUUCGUACGAAGUUCGUUCUGAAAUGGGGUGGUUGGUGUAUUGUAUAAUUCUAAGGAUUGGAUUUCACUCAAAACCCACCAAUGACUCCUCCCACAAUAUUAUGAUGUUCCCCAAGUUUUAGAUUCAAUCCGAUACCGAUCGGUCCACGAAAUUUGACAAUUCAGGUUCGUACAAAGUUCGUUCUGAAAUGGAGUGGUUGGUGUAUUGUAUUGUUCUAGGGAUUGUAUUUCACUCAAAACCCACCAAAUGACUCCUCCCACAAUAUUAUGAUAUUCCCCAAGUUUUGCACUCAAUCCGAUAUCGAUUGGUCCUUGAGAUCGGACAAUUCAGGUUCGUACGAAGUUCGUUCUGAAAUGGGGUGGUUGGUGUAUUGUAUAGUUCUAGAGAUUGGAUUUCACUCAAAACCCAGCAAAUGACCCCUCCCACAAUAUUAUGAUGUUCCCCAAGUUUUGGACUCAAUCCGAUAUCGAUUGGUCCUUACAAUCAGACAAUUCAGGUUCGUACGAAGUUCGUUCAUAAAUGGCGUGGUUGGUGUAUUGUAUAGUUCUAGGGAUUGGAUUUCACUCAAAACCCAUCAAAUGACAGCUGCCACAAUAUUAUGAUGUUCCCCAAGUUUUGGACUCAAUCCGAUAUCGAUCGGUCCACGAAAUUUGACAAUUCAGGUUCGUACGAAGUUCGUUCUGAAAUGGAGUCGUUCGUGUAUUGUAUAGUUCGAGAGAUUGGAUUUCACUCAAAACCCACCAAAUGACUCCUCCCACAAUAUUAUGAUGUUCCCCAGGUUUUGGACUCAAUCUGAUAUCGAUCGGUCCGCGAAAUUUGACAAUUCAGGUUCGUAUGAAGUUCGUUCUGAAAUGGAGUGGUUGGUGUAUUGUGUAGUUCUAGGGAUUGUAUAUCACUCAAAACCCACCAAAUCACUCCUCCCACAAUAUAAUGAUGUUCCCCAAGUUUCGGACUCAAUCUGAUAUCGAUUGGUCCUUGAAAUCGGACAAUUCAGGUUCGUAUGAAGUUCGUUCUGAAAUGGGGUGGUUGGUGUAUUGUAUAGUUCUAGAGAAUGGAUUUCCCUCAAAACCCAGCAAAUGACUCCUCCCACAAUAUUAUGAUGUUCCCCAAGUUUUGGACUCAAUCCGAUAUCGAUUGGUCCUUGAAAUCGGACAAUUCAUGUUCGUACAAAGUUCGUUCUGAAAUGCGGUGGUUUGUGUAUUGUAUAGUUCUAGAGAUUGGAUUUCACUCAAAACCCAGCAAAUGACUCCUCCCACAAUCUUAUGAUGUUCCCCAAGUUUUGGACUCAAUCCGAUAUCGAUUGGUGCUUGAAAUCGGACAAUUCAGGUUUGUACGAAGUUCGUUCUGAAAUGGUGUGGUUGGUGUAUAGUUCUAGGGAUUGUAUUUCACUCAAAACCCAUCAAAUGACAGCUCCCACAACAUUAUGAUGUUCCCCAAGUUUUGGACUCAAUCCGAUAUCGAUCGGUCCAAGAAAUUUGACAAUUCAGGUUCGUACGAAGUUCGUUCUGAAAUGGAGUGGUUGGUGUAUUGUAUAGUUCCAGAGAUUGGAUUUCACUCAAAACCCACCAAAUGACUACUCCCACAAUAUUCUGAUGUUCCCCAAGUUUUGGACUCAAUUCGAUAUCGAUUGGUCCUUGAAAUCGGACAAUUCAGGUUUCGUACGAAGUUCGUUCGUAAAUGGGGUGGUUGGUGUAUUGUAUAGUUCUAGUGAUUGGAUUUCACUCGAAUCCCACCAAAUGACUCCUCCCACGAUAUUAUGAUGUUCCCCAGGUUUUGGACUCAAUCCGAUAUCGAUUGGUCCUUGAAAUCGGACAAUUCAGGUUCGUACGAAGUUCGUUCUGAAAUGGGAUGGUUGGUGUAUUCUAUAGUUCUAGAGAUUGGAUUUCGCUCAAAACCCACCAAAUGACUCCUCCCACAAUAUUAUUAUGUUCCCCAAGUUUUAGGCUCAAUCCGAUAUCGAUUGGUCCUUGAAAUCGGACAAUUCAGGUUCGUACGAAGUUCGUUCAUAAAUGGGGUGGUUGGUGUAUUGUAUAGUUCUAGAGAUUGGAUUUCACUCAAAACCCCCCAAAUGACUCCUCCCAUAAUGUUAUGUUGUUCCUCAAGUUUUGGACUCAAUCCGAUAUCGAUUAGUCCUUGAAAUCGGCCAAUUCAGGUUUGUACGAAGUUCGUUCUGAAAUGGGGUGGUAGAUGUAUUGUAUAGUUCAAGAGAUUGGAUUUCACUCAAAACCCACCAAAUGAUUCCUCCGCCAAUAUUAUGAUGUUCCCCAAGUUUUGGACUCAAUCCGAUGUCGAUUGGUCGUUGAAAUCGGACAAAUCAGGUUCGUACGAAGUUCGUUCUGAAAUCGGUUGGUUGGUGUAUUGUAUAGUUCUAGGGAUUGGAUUUCACUCAAAACCCACCAAAUGACUCCUCCCACAAUGUUAUGAUGUUCCCCAAGUUUUGGACUAAAUCCGAUAUCGAUUGGGGCUUGAAAUCGAACAAUUCAGGUUCGUACGAAGUUCGUUCCGAAAUGGUGUGGUUGGUGUAUUGUAUAGUUCUAGGGAUUGUGUUUCACUCAAAACCCACCAAAUGACCCCUCCCACAAUAUUAUGAUGUUCCCCAGGUUUCGGACUCAAUCCGAUAUCGAUUGGUGCUUGAAAUCGGACAAUUCAGGUUCGUACGAAGUUCGUUCUAAAAUGGGGUGGUUGGUGUAUUGUAUAGUUCUAGAGAUUGGAUUUCACUCAAAACCCACCAAAUGACUCCUCCCACAAUAUUAUGAUGUUCCCCUAGUAUUGGACUCAAUCCGAUAUUGAUUGGUCCUUGAAAUCGGACAAUUCAGGUUCGUACGAAGUUCGUUCUGAAAAGGGGUGGUUGGUGCAUUGUAAAGUUCUAGAGAUUGGAUUUCACUCAAAACCCAUCAAAUGACAACUCCCACAAUAUUACGAUGUUCCCCAAGUUUUGGACUCAAUCCGACAUCGAUUGGUGCUUGAAAUCGGACAAUUCAGGUUGGUACCAAGUUCGUUCUGAAAUGGGGUGGUUGGUGUAUUGUAUAGUUCUAGAGAUUGGAUUUCACUCAAAACCCUCCAAAUGACUCCUCCCACAAUAUUAUGAUGUUCCCCUAGUAUUGGACUCAAUCCGAUAUUGAUUGGUCCUUGAAAUCGGACAAUUCAGGUUCGUACGAAGUUCGUUCUGAAAAGGGGUGGUUGGUGCAUUGUAAAGUUCUAGAGAUUGGAUUUCACUCAAAACCCAUCAAAUGACAACUCCCACAAUAUUACGAUGUUCCCCAAGUUUUGGACUCAAUCNNNNNNNNNNNNNNNNNNNNNNNNNNNNNNNNNNNNNNNNNNNNNNNNNNNNNNNNNNNNNNNNNNNNNNNNNNNNNNNNNNNNNNNNNNNNNNNNNNNNNNNNNNNNNNNNNNNNNNNNNNNNNNNNNNNNNNNNNNNNNNNNNNNNNNNNNNNNNNNNNNNNNNNNNNNNNNNNNNNNNNNNNNNNNNNNNNNNNNNNNNNNNNNNNNNNNNNNNNNNNNNNNNNNNNNNNNNNNNNNNNNNNNNNNNNNNNNNNNNNNNNNNNNNNNNNNNNNNNNNNNNNNNNNNNNNNNNNNNNNNNNNNNNNNNNNNNNNNNNNNNNNNNNNNNNNNNNNNNCGAUUGGUCCUUGAAAUCGGACACUUCAGUCGUACGAAGUUCGUUCUGAAAUGGGGUGGUUGUGUAUGUAUCGUUCUACAGAUUGGAUUUCACUCAAAACCCACCAAAUGACUCUCCCACAAUAUUAUGAUCUUCCCCAAGUUUUGGACUCAAUCCGACAUCGAUCGGUCCACGAAAUUUGACAAUUCAGGUUCGUACGAAGUUCGUUCUGAAAUGGAGUGGUUGGUGUAUUGUAUUGUUCUAGGGAUUGUAUUUCACUCCAAACCCACCAAAUGACUCCUCCCACAAUAUUAUGAUGUUCCCCAAGCUUUGGACUCAAUCCGAUAUCGAUUGGUGCUUGAAAUCGGACAAUUUCAGGUUCGUACGAAGUUCGUUCUGAAAUGGUGUGGUUGGUGUAUUGUAUAGUUCUAGAGAUUGGAUUUCACUCAAAACCCG
rnacentral:lncRNA from 1 species